UAAUUCGAAUUUUGUUAAUCAUGUUUUAGAAAAUAACCAUAAGCUUUGAUAUUAAUACAGACUUAGAGAUAUUAAAUACCCAAAAUAACAUUUACAUUAAUUUAGUUUUAAAUUAAUUACAUAUUGUAUACAAUGAAAUGAAGAAAAAUUAUUUUAAUAAUAUUUUAAAUAUAUAAACCAAUUUUAAAAAUAAUAUCUUAAAUCAAUAUGUUUUAGAUAAUAACCUAAUAAUUUA